rnacentral:rRNA from 1 species
UGCCAGCCGCCGCGGUAAUACGGAGGGGGCUAGCGUUAUUCGGAAUUACUGGGCGUAAAGCGCGCGUAGGCGGAUUAGUAAGUCAGUGGUGAAAGCCCGGGGCUCAACCCCGGAACUGCCUUUGAUACUGCUAGUCUUGAGUUCGAGAGAGGUGAGUGGAAUUUCUAGUGUAGAGGUGAAAUUCGUAGAUAUUAGAAAGAACACCAGUGGCGAAGGCGCCCUACUAGGCCGACACUGACACUAAGGGACGAAAGCUAGGGGAGCAAACAGGAUUAGAUA